CCUGGCUCAGGAUGAACGCUGGCGGUCUGCUUAACACAUGCAAGUCGAACGCAACCUUCGGGUUGAGUGGCGGACGGGUGAGUAACGCGUGAGAAUCUGCCUUGGGGUCGGGGACAACCACUGGAAACGGUGGCUAAUACCGGAUAAGCCUUUGGGUAAAAAAUUUAUUGCCCCAAGAGGAGCUCGCGUCUGAUUAGCUAGUUGGUGAGGUAAAAGCUCACCAAGGCAGCGAUCAGUAGCUGGUCUGAGAGGACGAUCAGCCACACUGGGACUGAGACACGGCCCAGACUCCUACGGGAGGCAGCAGUGGGGAAUUUUCCGCAAUGGGCGAAAGCCUGACGGAGCAAGACCGCGUGAGGGAGGAAGGCUCUUGGGUUGUAAACCUCUUUUCUCAGGGAAGAAGCUCUGACGGUACCUGAGGAAUCAGCCUCGGCUAACUCCGUGCCAGCAGCCGCGGUAAUACGGAGGAGGCAAGCGUUAUCCGGAAUUAUUGGGCGUAAAGCGUCCGCAGGUGGCGAUUCAAGUCUGCUGUCAAAGCACGGGGCUUAACUCCGUUAAGGCAGUGGAAACUGAAUAGCUAGAGUGCCGUAGGGGUAGAGGGAAUUCCCGGUGUAGCGGUGAAAUGCGUAGAGAUCGGGAAGAACAUCGGUGGCGAAAGCGCUCUACUGGACGGCAACUGACACUCAGGGACGAAAGCUAGGGGAGCGAAUGGGAUUAGAUACCCCAGUAGUCCUAGCUGUAAACGAUGGAUACUAGGUGUAGCUUGUAUCGACCCGAGCUGUGCCGAAGCUAACGCGUUAAGUAUCCCGCCUGGGGAGUACGCACGCAAGUGUGAAACUCAAAGGAAUUGACGGGGGCCCGCACAAGCGGUGGAGUAUGUGGUUUAAUUCGAUGCAACGCGAAGAACCUUACCAGGGCUUGACAUGUCCGGAAUCCCGGUGAAAGCUGGGAGUG
rnacentral:rRNA from 1 species